UCUCCCUCCUUUCUCACCCAUCUCUCCCCUGAACCCCCUCUAUCCUUCCUCUCCCUCAUUUCUCACCCAUCUCUCCCCUGAACCCCCUCUAUCCUUCCUCUCCCUCCUUUCUCACCCAUCUCUCCCCUGAACCCCCUCUAUCCUUCCUCUCCCUCCUUUCUCACCCGUCUCUCCCUGCUCCCUGUUUCCCCCGUCACGCCUCACUCCUCCAUCUUUCCCGCCAUCCCGUCCCUCCAGCAGGACUUCUUGGGGCAGGUGUUCUGUACUCUGGGAGAGAUCGUAGGAUCCCCCGCCAGUCGACUGGAGAAGCCCCUGGGCGGUAUCCCUGGGAAAAAAUGUGGCACCAUCAUCCUUUCAGUCGAGGAGCUGGGAAACUGCAGAGAAGUUGCCACCAUGCAGUUCUGUGCCCACAAGCUGGACAGGAAAGACUUCUUUGGGAAGUCGGACCCCUUCCUGGUCUUCUACCGGAGUAACGAGGAUGGAACGUGAGUUCUUCAUUCUUGUUUUUCUGUUCGUUUUCUGGCUCUAAUCUACUGUUUUACCAAAGAGAAGUAUGAGGGCAAAAUGUUGUAGUGGCCCCAUCUCUUGACGGGCAGAGAGAAAAU
rnacentral:lncRNA from 8 species